AAUAGUGCGCCCGCAUAACACCUAAUAUAUCAUCUCCAUGCUCUCGCGGCGGCGAAAGCCGGGCGAUGAAGUCGCCGGCGAGAUGGAUUAAGCCUCUCCUUGGGCUAAUCAUGUGCCCUCAACUUCAAGCCAUAUAUAGCUCCUCCCCCCUGAUGCCUCCUCUCUGUUGUUGACGUCUUCUGCACUAUGAUGGGUGGCAGGGUACAAGGCGUACAGAUCUCAAGGGAAGAUGAAUGCCUCACUUCACCGUGGGCUCUGGUGGUUGAAGCGCAAGUUGAUCCGACAAUAUCUGACUCACGUAUGUCGUGCUGAUUGAUUUUUUGAAGGUAAGCACCCGUCCAAUUUUUGGAUCGCGGAUGUAUGAUAAAUCAAUCCAUAUAUUCCAAAGAAAGGGAAGGAAGAGGAUAAAGUGGUUACAAAGUACAUCCACGUGAACCCAAUCUGAAGCCAAGGCGUAAACCUUGCCCUGUUCCAUAGUAGCCGGACACAGGCUCAAGCCUCAGGAGGAUCACCGGGCCUCCAUACUGUUUGCAGAUCAACAUGCAUGCAACAUAUGUAAGAGAGAGGUGGGCAGUCCAAAUGUUGAUAAUUUCAAAUAAGUUACAUCAGAUGCAUAAUGUAUUAGGCCCCCGACAGCCGUCAGGAUCUCCAAAACAGCGAGGUGAGGUCUCAGGGAUUGGGGCAAGAACACAUAAGCUGGCCAAGCAAAGGAAGCUCAGUAACAUAUUCAUACGGUCAUUGGACUGCUACCUUAUUAUUUCUGCUCUGAAGCUGGAUGAUGGAUUACCCAGCAGAUGCUUUUUUGCCAUGGAUCAGAUGGUAUGUACCCACAAUCCGGAAGCAUGUUGAUUACUUCCUAACAUUGGCUGGAUGCACACGUACUGACGUACAAGAGGACUUGAUGGAAUCUUACCGGAUGGAAAAACGCCCACAAGCAACACAUGCACGUGCGCGCUUAUCCGCGGUUCAGUUGACAUUCUAGGGUACAAAAUAAAGGCCAUAGAGCACACUCACUUGAUCAGUGUAUUCAGCAAGAUACUCCUAGAGUCCCAAUACGCCAGCCUACAGGAGGAAAUGCCAACAAUUGGUACCACAAGACAAUGGGGUACGAUAACGAAGCAAGAAUCGGCUGUGAAGCAAGCAACAACAUGGUGGAGAAACGAGCUCCUGGAUUUUCUGGCCAAGCACAUCAACUGACUCGUCAUCAUACUUCGUCAACCUAACGCAAACCCUCAAUUUCUUAACGUUUGGCAUGUAUUUUUCUAGCAUUAGA